UCCAGUGGUCAGGAGAGCUCCGUGGUGGU
rnacentral:piRNA from 1 species